rnacentral:ncRNA from 1 species
GAGAGCCGGAUGCGGGAGAUCCGCCUGUCCGGUUCGAUGAGCGGGAUGUGAAAACGGAGCACGGUCUGGAUAAUGAGGCACCGGCAGACGAAAGGGCCGGAUACAGAUAGGCCGAACCUAAACCACCGCGUCACAUCUCGACUCUAC